GAUGAACGCUGACAGAAUGCUUAACACAUGCAAGUCGAUGGGGAAGUGGUGCUUGCACCAUGGCAACCAUGGCGGACGGGUGAGUAACGCGUAAGGGACUUACCUGCAGGACUGGGAUAACAGGGGGAAACUCCUGACAAGACCGGAUAAUGUCAUGGAGCUGCAUGGCUUUAUGAUGAAAGGAGACGCCUGCGGAGAGCCUUGCGUCCUAUUAGCUAGUUGGUGAGGUAAUGGCUCACCAAGGCGAAGAUAGGUAGCCGGCCUGAGAGGGUGGACGGCCACAAGGGGACUGAGAUACGGCCCUUACUCCUACGGGAGGCAGCAGUGGGGAAUAUUGGAUAAUGGGGGCAACCCUGAUCCAGCAAUUCUGUGUGCACGAAGAAGGUUUUCGGAGUGUAAAGUGCUUUCAGCAGGGAAGAAGUAAGUGACGGUACCUGCAGAAGAAGCGACGGCUAAAUACGUG
rnacentral:rRNA from 1 species